GAAUCAGCCGCAGGCCCCAUCGGACGUCCCCGAUCAGCAGGACGAGUCUGAGGAGAAUAGAGGGAAGGACAAGGAUCUGCCUCAGGAUCCUCCUGCAGUUCACACAGUAGAACACCAGACACAGACAGAUACACCAAAUGAGCCACAGACUCAGGAAACCACACUGCAAGACAAUAUCCAUAAGGAGUUUCAGGUGAACGAGGCCCCAGCAGAGACAGAGAUACCCGAGGCUGAUCCAGAGUCUUCCGUUCCCCCUGAGGAUGAUGCUGGUUCUCAGAACACACCCGUCUCCACCCUUCCUGCUGCAUCUGUAACUGAAAGUCAGACUGCUCAUGUCUCUGAGGAUCUGUCAU